CAACAACAUGGAUUUCCUGGGGUUAUUGGUUGCAUAGACUGCACACAUGUUGCUAUAAUACCACCACCACAAAAUGAUGCUGAACAUCCCGAACAUUUAUAUGUAAAUAGGAAAAAUUACCAUUCAAUUAACGUGCAGUUAAUUUGUGACGCAAAUUUAAAAAUACUAAACGUAAAUGCUAAGUUCCCCGGUAGUACAAACGAUGCCUAUAUUUGGAGUAGGAGCAACGUUCAAAAUCUACUACAUAAUGUACAUAAUGCUGGUCAUAAAGAUUAUUUCUUGUUAGGAGAUUCUGGAUAUCCGUUGAGAACUUGGCUGUUAACACCAUUAGAAGGAGAUUAUGUUCCAGGUACUCCAGAUUAUAAUUAUAAUGUUGCCCAUAAAAAUACUCGAUGUAAAAUCGAAUGUUGUAAUGGUGUUUUAAAAAACAGAUUUAGGUGCUUAUUGAAACAUAGGGUUCUGCACGUGACUCCAUAUAAAGCAUGUAAAAUAAUCAAUGCUUGUAUUGUUCUUCACAAUACAGGGUUAUCAUAAAUGAUUGUAGUCGAAGUAGGCGCUGACGCAAUUGUUUUGAUAUGCCGCUUCUUACUUUCAAAAAAUUAUUAAUUAUAGUCCACUAAAGUUAUGGGGAAUUUUUGUUUUGCUUUGCUGUCAGAAGAAUGUCAUAUUGGUCAUAUGUCAUAAUACUUUCCCGCGCACGUCUUGUUUACUUGUGUUGUAGUUCCAGUCUUCUUUGUUAUAAAUUAAAUUGAAUUAAACCAGUUUUUCUCAAAACUACAACGAUUGAAAACAGCGAUUAAGGUUAAGAUGGGGUACACUCUUGAACAAAAUACGUUUAUUGUUGUCUUACUAUCGAAAUGGGACGUUAAAUGCGGACGGGGAAUGGGUGUAUUCUGUUCAAGCUUGCAAGGAUGAGUAUUUGGCAAAAUUUCCAGAAUUAAACAUUGAAGAACAGUCUUUAAUGACACAAAUAAAAAGAAUCGUUGACCGAUUCAACAGCACUGGAAAUAUUUCUAAAGGCAAGUCACCAGGAAGGCCUCCAGUUAGUGAAGAGGUCGUCGAAGAUUUGAGGGAACGAGUGGAGCAAAGCUCAAAAAAUCUUUAAGUAAAGUGUCUUUGCAAUCUGGUGUCCCAUACACCACUUGUCAGAAAGUUUUAAAAAGAACAUUACAUAUGCAUCCCUAUAAAGUAUCGUCAGUCCAUGAACUUAAACCAGCUGAUUAUCCUCGUCAUGUUGCAUAUUGUGAAUGGUUUCAAAACAACAUGAACAACAACAGAAUUUUGGGUUUGUCAUUUUUUUCCGAUGAAGCAUGGUUUCAUCUAAAUGGCUACGUUAAUUCGCAAAAUUAUAGAGUUUGGAGUGCUGAAAAUCCUUUUGUUUUUGAAAAGAAGAAUUCCUUGAGUACCCAGAGCAGUGAUUAUACUGUACCAAAAAAAUUUUGUGAUGCCUAAAAUUGUAGACGAGCAAGCAAAUGUGAAAGAUUGUUGUUCAUCUAGCUCGUUUUCCAGACUUCAUUGGCGCCUUGGACUGCAUAUGCACAUAUAAAAAUUAAAUUACCAGUUAUAGGUGGAGAAGAUCCAGAAAUUUUUAGAAAUCAGGAAGAUUGUCUCUUGGUUAAUGUACAAGCCAUAUGUGAUGAAAUGAUUAAAUUUCAAAUAUUGUGGCACAAUUAUCAGUAGCUACAAAUGAUAGUACUAUUUUUAAUCAUUGUUCAGUUUAAGAUCUGUUUGAAAAUACACAACUGCAAAGUUGUGUGCUCUUGGAUAGAAUAUUUUAAGAGAAUUUUAUUAUAUUAUUAUAUUUCUAAGUAACAAGUUAUCCCUUAAAAAAUACUUGUUGACACUGCUGAUAUAUCCCGUUACUCCAGCACAACAGCUCUAUUAUCAGUGACACAUUGGAAGCCGCAAUAGAAUUGGGUGCACAUUUGGGAUUCUGAAACGACAGUUUCCUGUGUUAACAGUUGUGAUUGUCGCUGUUGUUUUACACAACAUUUUAAAACAGAUUGUAAUAUUUGACAGUAAAAAUUUAUUGGU